AUUGAACGCUGGCGGCAGGCCUAACACAUGCAAGUCGAGCGGAUGAGAGGAGCUUGCUCCUCGAUUCAGCGGCGGACGGGUGAGUAAUGCCUAGGAAUCUGCCCAGUAGUGGGGGACAACGUUUCGAAAGGAACGCUAAUACCGCAUACGUCCUACGGGAGAAAGUGGGGGAUCUUCGGACCUCACGCUAUUGGAUGAGCCUAGGUCGGAUUAGCUAGUUGGUAGGGUAAAGGCCUACCAAGGCGACGAUCCGUAACUGGUCUGAGAGGAUGAUCAGUCACACUGGAACUGAGACACGGUCCAGACUCCUACGGGAGGCAGCAGUGGGGAAUAUUGGACAAUGGGCGCAAGCCUGAUCCAGCCAUGCCGCGUGUGUGAAGAAGGCCCUCGGGUCGUAAAGCACUUUAAGUUGGGAGGAAGGGCUUACAGCGAAUACCUGUGAGUUUUGACGUUACCGACAGAAUAAGCACCGGCUAACUCUGUGCCAGCAGCCGCCGUAA
rnacentral:rRNA from 1 species